rnacentral:rRNA from 1 species
GACGAACGCUGGCGGCGUGCCUAAUACAUGCAAGUCGAGCGAAGUUUUUCUGGUGCUUGCACUAGAAAAACUUAGCGGCGAACGGGUGAGUAACACGUAAAGAACCUGCCUCAUAGACUGGGACAACUAUUGGAAACGAUAGCUAAUACCGGAUAACAGUAUUUCUCGCAUGAGGGAUAUUUAAAAGUUGGUUAUGCUAACACUAUGAGAUGGCUUUGCGGUGCAUUAGCUAGUUGGUGGGGUAAAGGCCCACCAAGGCGACGAUGCAUAGCCGACCUGAGAGGGUGAUAGGCCACACUGGGACCGAGACACGGCCCAGACUCCUACGGGAGGCAGCAGUAGGGAAUCUUCCGCAAUGGGCGAAAGCCUGACGGAGCAACGCCGCGUGAGUGAAGAAGGAUUUCGGUUCGUAAAGCUCUGUUGUUAGGGAAGAAUGGAUAUGUAGUAACUAUACAUGUAAGAGACGGUACCUAACCAGAAAGCCACGGCUAACUACGUG